CGCCGGUGGACGCUUCGCUCCCUCCAUUCAUUUCAUUCGCACACAGUCGCAUCCCAGCAGCGAGCCGAGCCCUCCCCUCCUGUUUCUCUCCGCCUGGAAAGAUGGCUGCUCCGGCGGUGUUGAGGAGCUCCGGCCCGCCGCUCUGCCCGAGCUUCGCGGAGGUCUGCUCGUUCCUGGAGCGGUACGGAGCGGCGCUGGAUCUGCCCGAGAUGACUUUCCCGCAAAUGGAGAGGUAUCUACGGGACACGACUACAGUUCCUAAACCCCUCGUGGAGCUCCAUGUGAAGCUGCUCAGGAAACUGGGGAGGUCUGUGUCUGCUGACCGCUGGGAAAAAUACCUGGCUAAGGUCUGCCAGGAGUUGAAUAGCACCUGGGCAUGGGAGCUGGAACAGAAGGGCUACCAGGAGAUGUCCAUGGAGUGCAAGUCCAGCAUCCUGAAAUACCUCUGCGAGUGUCAAUUUGACGAAAACCUGAAGUUCAAGACGGCGGUCAACGACGAGGACCCGGAGAAGAUGCGUCUGCAGCCUGUAGGUCGGGACCGGCAGGGCCUGAUGUACUGGCUUCAGCUGGACCAGGAGCAGAACAUCCGGCUGUACACGGAGGAGCAGGACGAUCUGGACGGAUCCACCUGGAAGUGCAUCGUUAGGACUCGCAACGACCUGGCAGAGGCUCUGGAGCUGCUGAAGGCUCAGGUUGAUCCAAACCACAAUCAGGAACGAGACCAGAACCAGGCUGGAUCCAGGAGUGCCAGCCCUGCACAGAAAGAAGCUGGGGAUGAGACGAUCAGAAGCACCAACCCUGAGGCCUCAAAGACUUCAGAGGACCAUGCUGACAGCAAGAAGGUUGACCCUCAAAACAGAGAAAAACAAACCAGGCCAGAGGUGAAGGAGGAGCUCACACCGCCGCCCAUCAAGCAGGAAAACGCUGAUGCUGAGGUGAAGGAGGAGAAGACGCUCCUCAAACCGUCUGUCUUUGAUAACCGCGUGAGCACCAUCACCACAGUCAUCAAAUCAGAAUCGAGGGACGCUGACGCCCCCAGGAACACAGUGUCUGUUGUCAUGGCGCCUGUGGCUAAACAGGAAGAGGAAGCGGAGCGAGCGGUCGUCAGGAGCAGCCAGCAGGCCAAGAUACCACUGAAGAAGAGGGAGCUCAAGCUCGCAGAAAGCUUCCACAGCAAUCACCUGAACAAGACCAACAGCAGCAGUAUUAUUGUCUGUAACCCGUCAGUGAUCCACGCCAAGGACGGUCACGGAAGGGAGGCCAAGCUGUCUAACUCAUUAGUGCCCCCUGGUGGUUCAGCUGCCUCGCAGCCGCAUCUGGUCGUCAGCGCAUCAAGGCUGGAACUCACCAAUGGAAGAGCUUCGCUCCUGCCGCACAAAGAUGGGCAAAAUGGGGUAGUAGGUCAGGUGGUGGGUCACGUAGGAGUCAUCCGCAGCCCAUCUGAGCUUCACAGAGCGCCCGGCGCCGAGCAGCAGGAACAAAACGGGCCAAAUUCAGACCUCCGGGACUCGAGAGCAGUGGAGGAACAACGUGAAGGGAGCCGGCAGUCAGUGUUGGUGAGGAAGGGCCUUACAGAAGAGGAGACGCCAGCGGGAGCUGCCACUUCUUCUCCUCACCCUCCUCCUCUUCCUCCUCAUGCACUAACGGAGGCUCCGACACCCACAAAAAUGGACUCUGUUGGCAUCUCCUCGCUGUCUCAGAAUACAGAGGAACCCAAGAGGCAGACAGCAGAAGAUGAGGGUAAAAACACCACAGAGGAGCAGCUGGACAAGGAGAGGAAAACUGGGCAGGAUGAUGAGAGGGAGGAGAGGAGCAGGGAGGUGUCUGUGCUCAGUGUGGCAGAGGGAUUAAAAAAAGACGACCGAGUGAAGAAUGAAAGCACUUUAGGACAAGCAGAGGCAGAAUCGGGAAGCUCUGUUUCACCUUCGAAACUGGACCAACAGGAUAAAAUGGACGACCAGGAGGAGGGCGUCAACGGUGGGUUAGCAGAGCAGAAAAAGGCAAAGGCCUCGGAGGAGCGGCAGGGACUGCUGGAGGAAGCCUCCUCUGAGCUCCAGAAGGAAGGAAUCAGGCUAAAGAUCAAGAUUCCUCCCCACCGGAGAAACAAGCUGAAGGGGAAGGCGAUGAAGGAGGAGGAGAAAGGGAGGGAGCUGGAGACGCAAGAGGAAGGGAGGCCGCUGAGGAGGUCUGCGAGGAUCUGCAGAUCAUCUGCUUUGCCAACCUGCAGGCCAAGCUCGAAGGUGGCUGAGAGCCAGAAGAAGAACCCACAGAAAAAACAUGCACUACCCACCAGAACGAGGGAAGAAGAGGAGGAGGAUGAGUAUGAAGAGGAUGAAGAGGAGCAGAGCUCAGCUGCAAAGAAAGACAAAAAAACUGAACCUGUCGAGCAGAUAAGGAAGCGAAGGGGUAAACGAAGGCACCGGCGCCCCCGGUGGUCAAACAUACGCACAAAGAGGCGCAAACUUAAUGAGGGAGGGGAGGUGGAGGACAGGGGGAGGAAACGGGGAGAGGAGGAGAGCGAAGGAGGGAGCGACUCAGAGGAAGAAUCGUAUAAAUCCGAGGAGAUUCCCAGCGAGGACGCCUGCACUCACUGCGGCCUGCCCAACCACCCCGAACUGAUCCUGCUGUGUGACUCAUGUGACAGUGGGUACCACACUGCCUGUCUGCGGCCGCCUCUCAUGUUGAUCCCUGAUGGAGAAUGGUUCUGUCCCCCCUGCCAACAUAAAUUGCUGUGUGAGAAACUGGAGGAACAACUGCAGAAUCUGGACAGCGCUCUGAAGAAAAAGGAGAGAGCAGAGAGAAGGAGGGAACGGCUGGUGUACGUAGGAAUCAGCGUGGAGAACAUCAUCCCUGAGGGAGAUGAGGAGGAAGAGGAGAAGUCUGCGAAGAAGAAGGAUUCCAAACAGAGCAAAAACCUCGGAAGACGAUCAACCAGGACCAGGAAGCACAUCAGCUACAGGUUUGAUGACUUUGAUGAUGCCAUUGAUGAGGCCAUAGAGGAGGACUUCAGGGACCUCUGUGGAGGAGCGGGGCGGGGCAAAGACCUCCCCACCAGCCUUUCAGAGGACGGGAAGGAGAGUCAGCGGCCAAUCAGAAGCCAGACUCACGCUGCACGGAACAGGAAGAAGCGGAGACUGAACGACCUGGAGAGCGACAGCACAGCGGCGGAGAGCGAAGACGAGUUCAUGCUCAGCAACAGCUCAGAGGACGAAGAUUUCGGCGCAUCCGGAGCAGACGACGAUGAAGAGGAGGAAGACGAAGACGCGGGCAGUGAUGCCGGCAGCUGGGAUAGCAGAACUCGCCCCAGACGGGCGCUGAGAGGAGUGGCUAAACACAGACCCGGCAGGAGCCGUGGGCGGGGCAGGAAGCGGCUGAGACGGCGGCGGAGACGCUCCUCCGACGAGGAAGAGGAGGAAAGCGAGGAAGAGAUGGACUCGGAUCAGUUCAGCGACAUGACGGACAGCAACAGUGACAAAAAAAGGCGGGGCCUGAGGCGGGGCCAGCGCCAGCAAGUCAACUACCGUGAAACGUCGGAGUCGUCGGACGACUCGCGAGCCUCCGCCAACAAGGACAAGGUGAAGCGCCACGGCAGGCCUCGCAAGGAGCGUCUCUCCAGCGACUACAGCGACGUGUCGGCUUCUUCCAGAGAUUCAGAGGAGGACGAUUAUGAAGACGAGGAGGAGGAUGACCAGAGGAGGAGGGUGAACAGGAGGAGGAGACACGAGGAAGACUUCCGGACAAGGAGGACGAGAGACAAGAGGAGGAGGAGGUACGAAGAGGACGAGGGAGAGAGAGGGAGGCGGCUGAAGAGGAGACUGCAGGAGGAAGAGGAGGCCGAGGAGGAGAGAGACAAGCGGAGGAGGUUAAAGAGAACACACAGAGAGGAAGAGGAGGAUCUGGAGAAGAUGGGGAGGGGGAAGAGGAGAGAGAUCCUGUUGCAGCAGCGGCGCAAACGGCUCGCCCAGAUGCUGAAGAAACGGCGGCCUUCGACGGACGAGGAGGAGGAGGAGGGCGAGGAGGACGACGACUCGUAUUCUGAGUCAUCAUCAGAGGAGGAUCGUCCGGUCCGCAAAAGACUGAACCGCAUCGACUCAGAUGACGAUGAAGAGGAGGACGAGGACGACGAGGAAGACGAGGAUGGGAGACAGAAGACGGUGACCAAAAGAUCUUCGGGGGAGAGGAGAGCUGACAGCGACGCUCAGGAAAAGGGGAGGGGCCGCAGCCUGUCUCCGCCAAACGGACAUCGGACCUCCAGAGGCCCAGAGCCCAGAGACGCUGCAGGGUCGGGCAGGCAGGGCAGGCACAACGGUCCCUCACAUCCGGAGGAGGGGGAGGGAGAGGAGGAGGAACAGAGGGACUCCCGAGACUCUGUCCAGAACAGUCUGCAGUCAUGAUGGCUGUGUGCGUGCACAACGCUCGCUUCUUUGUUCCACUUUUUCUUUUCGUCGCCAAGCCUCUCGCCCACUGCCCGGAUCUCACUCUGACUCACGUUCCUCACUCUUCUUCCUCGCCGUCGUGUUGUGUUAGAGCGCAUUUAUCACAGUCACAGUUACACGCUGGAACAGAAACUCACGGUUACCCAUUUUUAUAACGGGCUGGCAGGCGGAGCUGACGCCUCCCGGCAGCAGGAUGGCUCCACCUCACCGUCCACCCGACAGGAGAGGAGGAGAGAUGCUGCUGCGAGCGACCUGCAGAUCGACCGGCGUCCAGCGGUUUUUGUUUCCGCAGCUGAGUUCCAUCAGAGCAGCGUGGAGCCCGUUCACCAGUAAAACCCCGUCUCACGGCUCAGUCCCGCCCCGCAUCGCCGGAGCGUGUUAACAGUUUGAACGCCUUGUUUUAAGAAGGAACAAAUCUUUAUUUCUGACCGAGGCUCAGGGGAGGAAAACAAACACCGAUCACUAAUCAGAGUUUUGUUCCAUCAGCUUCUGUUUGACCGUCGCACACAGUCGAAUCACUGUCAGGGCUUUAACCUGCUGUUAAUGAAGAGAGGCUCCAUUUAUCUUUAAAUUUCCACCAAGCUCACCUUUAAAAGUUGGACUCAAACAUUUCCGCUGACCUUACCGAGACUGUUUUUUUGGCACUGAAAAGUUUUACUUUAAAACAGGAUUUAGAGUUCAGAUGAUGAUUAAACUUCAGGCCUGCGUUUAUCAAACUACUCAGAAUUAACCUCAAAAUGCUCUUAGAGGUGUAAAAACGUUUAGAGCAGCUGUUUUUGGAUUCUUUAAAAUCAUUUAAUUUUACUCAAAUACUAAAUAUAAUUUGGUGUAAUAUGGUUAUAAUGCAUAAUUAUAUCAACAGGAGGAAAUACAUGGAAAAGUACAAACCCAGUCAACAUGGGUUUUUUUUUUUUUUUUUUUUUUUUUUUUUUAUGCAUUAGUAUAUUAUCGUUUUCUCACAGCCAUCACGAUGAAUCUGCUUUGAGACCUUAUAUAAAUGGCUGAUGGUUCACAGCGGGCCUGUUCUGCAUGAUUCAGAGCAGUGGGGCUCAGUUCAGCUCCAGUACAUCCUCUAUCUGAAAUGAGCUGUUUUUGCCCCGCCCACUUUAAGUUUCUUCUGAUUGGCUGCCCAUCGUGAAUAGUGGAUGGGUGGGGCAUCUCUGCCACAGAUGACCAUAUUAGGGAUAUCCUCUCUCUGUAACAUUAUACAGAUUAUCCAUUAUACAGUCCAACAUUUCUCAUUAAGUGGUUUGAUAAAUUCAGCCCUGAUGAUUCGGUUCUGAUUGGAUGAUUUCAUGAUUUCAGCUUCAAAUAUUUUUUAAGGUGUGAUGUGUAAAAACUACACAGGCCACUGAGUCCGCUUCCAUCAUGAUAAACACAAACCUGAGCGUUAAUACUGACUCACAGAAAAUAAGUCGGCUGUCUGAGCAGAGCUACUUCUUGUCAGGUUGGACGUUACAGUCAGAGGCAGGAGCGAUCGUGCUGAAAACAAAGCUAACGUCGCAGCUGUUACAUCUUUACGUUGUGCUGUUAACUUUUAUUAGUGUUUUUAAACUGACAGUUUUACAAACGGCACCUUUUAAAGGUGCUUUUUGUAAUGACCCUCUGCUACAUGUAACUGAACUUCACCAGCAGGGGGCAGUGUUUUACUGGCAGUUGUGUUGAGAUGUUUUCAGACGUGUGCUUCUGUUUGUUGUUUUUUUUUGUUUUUUUAAACCACUGUGUCCACUUGACUCCCGCAGGCCUUCGUUGUAAAUAAGUUGUUUUUAAUGACUUGCCUGGUUAAAUAAAGGUUCCGCUUACUCA